AGAUGCGAUCAUACCAGCACUAAAGCAUCAGAUCCCAUCAAAACUCCAAAGUUAAGCGUGCUUGGGUGAGAGUAGUACUAGGAUGGGUGACCUCUUGGGAAGUCCUCGUGUUGCAUUCC
rnacentral:rRNA from 1 species